GCAUAGUUAGCAUGCGCUAGCUAAAACACUCAAGUAGCGAACGUCAAGUGCACAUUGUCGGUCCUUGAAAACUGAAAAAAUACAGUCUGAAUCGGACCAAAGACGACUUUCACCCCGAGCAAUGGUGUCUAUGAUGUCUAGACGAAGAGACUGAUGAAACUGAAAGAAGAUAAAGAGGACUUUCACACCAAAGUCAUAAAGAUGUUUGUCCAGAAGGAUACAAUGGACUUAACGUAAAGUAAAGGGCGCGCAGUGUGAUUUCCCGCACACGGACAAAGUGCGCAGCGUGCGUCGAGAGGGAGGCCCACGGAGUCUCCCAGCAUGCACCUGUCCGUCCACGACUCGCACACAGCUUGGCGGCCGCAUGGCGCCUUCGGAGGAAGGAAUUCUCUCGCCCAGAGGACGUCCGAGGUCUCUCAAUGUGGACGUUCUUCUUUUUAUACGUUUUUGUCACAUUGUAAAAAAAGAAAUAAUAUAUAACAUUAUGUGUAUUAUUUUUUUUAAUUAUACAUUUACUAUGUAAAUCCUUAAAUAGUCCAUGUAUAUAUGUUUAGCUUAAUAUUUCCACAAGACCACUGAGUCUCCGCUUUCUGGUAAAUCCGUGUUAAUUGGUGGUGCAGCUGACCAAUGUCGAUGGCCAACGUGAGAUCCGUGGAUUAAUCUCAUGGUUUAAUGUUGGCUAUCACAAAGUCGCUGCCGACAAUAAUCCGUUCUCGGGCGAAGCUGGAUUACAACUUCAUCACGACGGCUUCCUGUAAUCUCGUUAAAUCCGUUGACAUAAUUUUAAUUCCACACAUUUUAUAAUCCAUCAUUAAAACUACUAAUGCCCCCCAGACUAUUGAGUCAUAGGAAAUAUUUAAUUUAAAAUACAGUUGUGUGUUUAUCAUUUGAAUAAAUAUUUAAACUAAUAACCGCUACAUACAUCAGUAAAAACAUUUGGUAUUUUCAAACCCUUUCCUGUGUUAUAGUCCCCUUUUAUUUAUUUGUCGACAGGCCCACAUUUUCUUUCUGAACAAUUAAGUUUGGCUGCAGAGCCGAUCAAACCCCCCAGCUACUCGCCCGCAGGGCCCCGUUGUUGUUGUUGUUGUUGUUGUUGAACAGGUUGGAGACUUUCCGCCUCACCACCUCCUUCACGGUGUGAAUGCUAAAGAGUCGGUGAAGGAGUUCUAUAUUUAAUUCUUCUUCCACAUAACUUUGUUGGACGGCAAAUGAAUUCACUGCAAUUUCAUCCUAUUAAUUCAUGCACGUUGUGUUCUCGUACAUCUAAUCUUCUCUCAUAUGGCGCUAUGCUAAUUUAGUUAAUCAAAGGCCGCUGUGGUGGCGGAAAAAGAACGACAUGUGUUGGAUUUCUCAAGAUUUUUGUCGGCAUCUCACCCGCAGCUGACAGCGCGGCCGCUGUUACAGUAAAAUGUUGACAGCCAAAGUAGACAAUUAUAUCAACUGGCCCCUGGCCCUCUGUCAGCCUCCACCAGAGGCCCCCGGGCCAAACCGCCUGACGAUCUCGGUAACUAAGCAAGGAUGGCUGUUCCGAUUAAAGGUGCACGGGUGGAUUUGUGUUUCUGUGAUUUGCCUCCACGUGGAGAGCGGCGCGCCGAGCUGUCACAUGUCGUCUCCCUCAGGAGAGUUCACGUGAACACCUUUUAGCAUAGUUCAGUGCUUGUAAUAAAUGAUCUGUCAAUUAUCCAGACUCUUUGUUUGGCCUUAUAUCUCAUUUAAUAGUCUCUGAAAACAGCACGUCCCCCUCUUGAGCUCCGUGUAUAGCGGACCUGGACGAGUAAUUGGGGGGGGCGGUUACCGACUCGCAGGCACGGACGGAGAGCCGUGUUGUCUCCUCAGCGUCGGCGAAGCAACUGGUCCCGCCGAACGCCGUCUCAUUCAAUUAGGCGUGACCCUGGGAGCUGAGUGGGAGCCGAGAGCAACUCUAGGCUGAGUCGUGCCUCCUCGUCACAGUGACGCGUCUCCAGGUAAACAUCCCUCAAUGGAGGAAGUAGAUCCAAAGUCUCCAGACUGAGAAUAACGUGAGUCACAUUUCUCUAAAUGUAAAAUGUAAAAAUCUGAUUUCAUUCACGUUUAAAGGACAUACCUUAUUACCAGCUAUUACUAUUAUGAUAUAAAUAAACUUUUCUUAGCUGUCUGGUUUUGGC
ensembl:lncRNA